UCCCUGAUGGUUCAGUGGUUAAGACUCCAUGCUUUUAAUGCAGAGGGCAUGGGUUCGAUGCCUAGUCAGGGAA
rnacentral:tRNA from 1 species